CCCCUCUCAGGGUCACACCUGGAGAGUUUUCAGUACUCUACCAGUCUCGACUACAGGAGGAAGAGUCAAGUAGAGGCAUAGCCAUUCCAUUCCUAGCUUGGGCCAUGGCUAGCAAGUGGAAGACAUUCUGCUAAAAGU